GCAGAGAGUGUUUCAGUGGAUAGAUGCUUGUUCACAGAGCAGGAGGUUUUUGUACGGCCACUUAAUGAGUUUGUAUCACUGUGGUUGACUUUUGGUGGAGGAACCAAACUCAUCAUUGACUCUGGCCCCAUGGUCAGGCCCUCGGUCUCUCUGCUUCCCCCCUCCUCUGAGCAGCUCUCCGGGGGCUCGGCCACGCUGACCUGCCUGCUGUCUGGCUACUCUCCUCAGGGAGCCGUGGUGAGCUGGCAGGUGGACGACACGGAGGUGACAGAGGGGGUCCUGAGCAGCUCAGAGGAGGAGAAGAGCGGACGCUACAGCAGCAGCAGCACCCUGAGCCUGAGCCGGGAGCGCUGGAUGGAAGGAGAGCUGUACUCCUGCAGGGUCCUCCAUCAUGACCACAGCCAGACCCAGUCCCUCCACAGGAGCCAGUGUGAGGGCUAGAGGAGCAGGCUGAAGCCCAGGACGGGAGCUCUGUGUGGGGGGAGCAGGAGGAGCACACCUGCUGCUCUGAUCGAUAUCAGUUUGUAAUUUAAAGCUUUGUGUUGCAGAGAACAACACUGCUGUAAAGUGUUGGACAACAACAACUUAGAGAGUAAUGUUCAGCAGCUAGAUGUGAGUGUGUUUCAUAACUGUCAUGUUAAUGAUUGAUGUUGUUGCUAAUAAAAGCUUUCACUGAUGAAUAACA